AACAAACAGAGGGAGGAGAGCCCAGCUUGCUCAUAAUGCUCUCUGCUGUUCCAGGGCCGGCCCCAGGGCUCACUGGGAGGGCUCAGGGCGACGCAGGGCUCCCUGGCGCCUGUCUGCAGGGAGGAAAGCCUUCCUCGGAAGGCGCCUUCUGACUGAAGGGCUUGGGGCCUCAGGGUUACCGGUUCUACUGGCAAGAUGUGGCCCCAGAAAGUGUCGCAGGAAUUCAGGUGUAAUGGAUGGUACUCCAGUAGCCAUUUUGGACCAUGAGAUGACCUUUGGAAUGGAAGCUGCAUGUGGCAAAGCAAACUUCACAAGGAGCCUGGGUUUCUGUCACCAAACCAUCCCUGAACUGCUUAGCUCUGGACUUAUUACAAUAGAGAGACCUAAAUAUUUGCCCUACUUAAGCCACUGUUAUUUUGGGUUUUCUCUUCCUUUGGCCAAACUUAAUUCUAAAUAAUGUAGCAUCCACUGGGCACUUCACAUCCACUGUCUCACAGAACAUCUGCAACGCCUCUGUGAAGUUCCAGAACUGCUCGUCCCAUCCCCAGUCGUGCUCCACCCCAAUCCACUCUCUCAGGAAUGGCCUGAUUGAAUCUUCCCACAUAAAUCGCCUCACAGCACCUCUGCAUGGAAUCUUUCCAUGGUGUUUUGGUUAUCUAAUGCUAGAUAACAAAUCACCUCAAAACACUGGCUUAAGAAACAAUAAUUUCAGCUUCUGUUGGUCAGGAAUUCGGGAAGGAGUCAGACUGGCAGCUCUCACCUGGGGUCUCUCGAAUGGUUGCAGUCGGAAGUUGGCUGGGGCGGGCUGCCGUCACCUGGAGACCAGACAGGGCUCUCCAUCCAUAGAGCAUCCAUAGAGCGCCCCUCAGAUGGCUCGCCCACACACCCGGGGAAGCUGCUGGUAGCUGGGGGCGGGGACCUCAGCUCCUGCCCACGUGGCCUUCUCUGCAGGGCUGCUGAGUGUCCUCUGGGCAUGGAGGCUGGCUUCCCCCAGAGGGAGCAAUCGCAGGCAUGAGGUGGAAGCUGCGUUGCCUUGUAUGCCCUGGCCGUGGAAUCACACCCCAUCACUUCCACCCUGUUCUCGUGGUUGGGGAAGUUGCUCGUAUCUGGCUGGGGUCGAGGGGAGAGAACAUUGAUCCUGCCUUUCCAUGAAAUUGUGUCAAUUUUCAAUUGUGGAAUCAG
rnacentral:lncRNA from 1 species